AAGGAACACGUCGACUUAUUAGGACUUUGGCUUAUUUACUUAUUAAGUACAUACAUACCCUUCUAAUCUUGCGUGUUGUAACUCUGUCUGACGGACCCACCCCUAGUCUAGCUUAGCACAGAUGCUGGAGGUAACUGGUUCCAACUAGCCUAGUUUAGCACAGAUGCUGGAGGUAACUGGUUCCAACUAGCCUGCUGCUCCCAAUAAGUAGCA